rnacentral:rRNA from 1 species
GACGAACGCUGGCGGCGUGCUUAACACAUGCAAGUCGAACGGAAAGGCCCUGCUUUUGUGGGGUGCUCGAGUGGCGAACGGGUGAGUAACACGUGAGUAACCUGCCCUUGACUUUGGGAUAACUUCAGGAAACUGGGGCUAAUACCGGAUAGGAGCUCCUGCUGCAUGGUGGGGGUUGGAAAGUUUCGGCGGUUGGGGAUGGACUCGCGGCUUAUCAGCUUGUUGGUGGGGUAGUGGCUUACCAAGGCUUUGACGGGUAGCCGGCCUGAGAGGGUGACCGGCCACAUUGGGACUGAGAUACGGCCCAGACUCCGACGGGAGGCAGCAGUGGGAAUAUUGCACAAUGGGCGGAAGCCUGAUGCAGCAACGCCGCGUGCGGGAUGACGGCCUUCGGGUUGUAAACCGCUUUCGCCUGUGACGAAGCGUGAGUGACGGUAAUGGGUAAAGAAGCACCGGCUAACUACGUG